GAUCAUCGGAUCUGGAACUCGAAGGUAAAAGCGAGGACAAAAGACACGGAUUUAUACAAGUUCGGGCUGCCAGAGUAGCGUAAUACCCUAUGUCAUGUUUGGGGUGUUGUAUAUUGAACCCUGCACUUGGGUAUUGUUGGUAUUGAGGAUUUGGUCCUCUGUUGUGGUUCUGCCGAUCUAGGUACCCUACCCUUUUUUAUAUACUCCAAGGGGUGGGAUUACUAGUCGGUUACAAGUUAGGAGUUACUAGUCGGUUACAAGUUAGGAGUCCUAGUAGGAUUACAUGGUAUGAGUCCUAGUAGGAUUACA
rnacentral:lncRNA from 1 species